AUUCCAUGAUGAGGGCAUUUUCGCAAAAACUCCUUGAUUCGUUCCCAUGCCUCAUAUAAAGAUUCUUCAUCAAAUUGUUGAAAUGAUGUAAUAUCAUUGCGGAGAUU